AACUCCAGCGCUCGAGCCGGCUGACGGCGAUCAGGAGAUGACCGAGGAGGAAUGGAGCCUGCGAGUGGCUGAACUCAACAAACAUCAGGAGACUGUGGAGAAGAUAAAGUCCAGCACUAAAGAGGCUUAAAGGAGCGAAGAUGAGAAGGUUCCUCUGUAAUCGAAAGAUCAGGAUUGCUUAAUAAAACUAGAAGAACCUCAACAUGUAUUACUUUAUCUUUUAUUACUUUGCUGUGUAACCUUAAUUUUUAUCUAUUCUUUGGUUGAUUUGUGUGUAGCUCACAUUAGCCUGUAGCUCAAGUCUUUAUGUUUUAUGUUUGUUUGUCACUAAGUGCUUCGUUUUAUACUCGAUAUCAUUUGAAGCCUCGCGAGGCGCCUCGGCACUUUGUUUGGGAGCUGUUUUGCAUCGUUGUUUUUAUUAAUUGUCAUUAUUUUAUUUGUCUUUUUAGAUUUAGAUUGUACAUAUAUACAUUACAUGUGUUGCUUUUGAUCGAGACAAUGGCAGUAGAUGAAGGAGACGAGCAGUGGAGGAAGACUGGCAGGACUGGCGAAGGUUAUGAUGAUAUGGUUUGGUAAUCUAAUCCAGGUAGAUACGCUCCUUCUGUUAUCAGGAUAACAGCAGAUUAUAAAGUAGAGAGCAGCGCCGUCAGCUCAGUCUCCCUUCGCACAAGCUCUAUCCGCAGUCAUAGUCUUGAGACCUUUCGAAAAGGUGCUAAUAUGUACUUUUCUGUUCACAGUGUGAUCCUCUUGCAUCAGCAUGCUAUUAUUCCAGGACUAUUGGAUGAUUAUUCUGCACUGAACUUUUACUACGCUCAUUUACUUAGCUCUUAUAUGAAACAUCUGUGGUUCAGCAUCUUAUUUCGGCUGUGUUCCAUUUGGAUGCAAAAAAAAAGUCUACCUGUGAAUUUCUCCUGUGAACUUUAUCUAGUCAGGAUCAGAACCUGGUGCGUUGGAUGCAUUGUCAUCUCAAAAGAGACCAUUCACGAUCGAGUGAUCAGUCGAUAUCCUGUAAUGGACUGGCGACGUGUCUAAGGUGUUUUCUAUGUUUCACCCCAUAUAUCUGACCCAGUGUGACCCUGAACAGGAUAAAGAGGCAGUAAAACAGCCAAUCAGGCAGUAGUUGUAUUGAUUUGCGGCGACUCUUCUUCCCCUACAGUGACAGGUGGACCCAAACCAUGCCUUCCUGUCAACGUCAUUACAUUAUUCUCCUCUUGCCAUCUUGGAUAAAGAGUUAAUAAUGUAAUAGUCUGCCUGGAAAUAAAAAUCACUCAUUAAUUUAGGUUUAGGUAACAUUUUAUCAAUAGGAAACAAAUUCAGUUUGUUCAAAUGUUCAGUUGGUCCACAUACCAGACACCAGGCCCAGUUUUUAAGCCGGAUACCUUUCCUGAAGCAACCCACCUAUUUCUAUCCAUGCUUGGACCAGCACUGAGAGCGCACUGACAAGUGCGUCUUCCAAUGGCUUGGCUGUUUCGGCCAUCCACUGUCCUCGGACAUUGGACCAUCAUAUCCAUGCAGACACCUGACUGACCAAUAGCACUGCUGAUAUUCGAACUCUGGAUCACCCAAAUCUAGCAGUAGUGGGCUAGCAUAAUUCACAGCACUAGUCUGUCCAUAAAAUUGGUAAAACUAUCUAUGGUGUUAGAUUUCUAAGUAGGGCAGCUGGUGGUGCAAUGAAAAAACAUUUACCCUAUCGCAAGUUAUAAUCCAGACAAUAUCUGAAUAAUAGCUAUCCACAGGAGGUGUGACGUUCCUUUUUUACGUGACCAGAAGAAGGUGGAUGGACUCUUCCUCCAAGACUAGAUGGGUAAAAAAAAUCAUGAUUGUUAGCAUCAGUUUAAAUUGGUAUCAUCUGUCUUACUUUAUUCAUUAUUGUUACACCUGAAUUAAUGUUCUUUAGCUAUUAAAUCUAAAUUAAGAUGCUUUAAAUUGUCACCAGAAACGUUUUCCUUUUUUAAAGUGGCAGUUGUCAGCAUUUCUUUCUGUAAAGACAUGAAUACUUUGACAGCACAGAUGAAUCUGCUUUGUUUCUUUUUAUGUUAAGCUGAGCUGCUUUAUCAGACGUAGUUAAAGCUUUAUCGCUGUUUUUAUAUCGUCUGAGAAGACGAAGAGAAAAAGCAAAGUGAUCCGACCAGCUGAACUUGUGCUUGAAAGCUCAGCAGUAUUAGAUAACGUGUGCAGGUUGAUUCAGGAUGAUUGUUCUGUUUGAUUGUGCUUCUUGGUACCAAGCAGAUGGAGAGCAGUACGAAACCAAAGUCUAAUGUGUAGAGCUUCGAUAUUAUGCAGAUCCUCUGGACCCAGCAACACCAUCAUACCUUUUAUUUCAGAGUUCAUCAGCUGUGACGUGUUUGUACUGACUGUACUGACCAGACGUGACUGCUGAGUGUUAAUCUGUGUAUGCUGUGAGACUUUGCGCUUGCUUUUCUCUUUUAUAUCUCUAACAGUGUAUGAUACUGAGUGCCUUAAAUUUACACGUUUAUACGUCUGCUGAUGGACUCGCCUUUUCUUACGUCUAACCACAAAUUGUAAGACUCCUUGACGAACUUUGCAGUAUUAUAUAAUGUACGCCUGAACUUGUCCUGGAUGACUGAUUGCACUCGUCAUUUCAUAUCAGCUGGGAGAGAAUUCAGUCAUUUCAGUGAAAGACUAUCUUGUUUUAGUUAUAUUUAAAUGUACUUGUAUUAUUACUAUUGGUUAUGUACUGUGUGUCAAUAAAAUGUAUUUCCAAUA